GACCUGAUGGCGGAUGGUCCGCGUCUGCGCUUGCUGAGAGGAUUGCAAAUAAUUUGAGCAGAAGGUGCCUGUUCGAAUCAGGCUCGAGUCA